GACGAACGCUGGCGGCGUGCUUAACACAUGCAAGUCGAACGGAAAGGCCCUGCUUUUGUGGGGUGCUCGAGUGGCGAACGGGUGAGUAACACGUGGGUAACCUGCCCUUGACUUUGGGAUAACUUCAGGAAACUGGGGCUAAUACCGGAUAGGAGCUCCUGCUGCAUGGUGGGGGUUGGAAAGUUUCGGCGGUUGGGGAUGGACUCGCGGCUUAUCAGCUUGUUGGUGGGGUAGUGGCUUACCAAGGCUUUGACGGGUAGCCGGCCUGAGAGGGUGACCGGCCACAUUGGGACUGAGAUACGGCCCAGACUCCUACGGGAGGCAGCAGUGGGGAAUAUUGCACAAUGGGCGGAAGCCUGAUGCAGCAACGCCGCGUGCGGGAUGACGGCCUUCGGGUUGCAAACCGCUUUCGCCUGUGACGAAGCGUGAGUGACGGUAAUGGGUAAAGAAGCACCGGCUAACUACGUG
rnacentral:rRNA from 1 species